GAUGAACGCUGGCGGCGUGCUUAACACAUGCAAGUCGAACGAGAAGUGAAGACGGAAACCUUCGGGCGGAAGGCUUUAUUUCGAGUGGCGGACGGGUGAGUAACGCGUGGGCAACCUGCCUCAUACAGGGGGAUAACAGUUGGAAACGACUGUUAAUACCGCAUAAGACCACAGCACCGCAUGGUGCGGGGGUAAAAACUCCGGUGGUAUGAGAUGGACCCGCGUUCGAUUAGCCAGUUGGCGGGGUAACGGCCCACCAAAGCGACGAUCGAUAGCCGAUCUGAGAGGAUGACCGGCCUCAUUGGGACUGAGACACGGCCCAAACUCCUACGGGAGGCAGCAGUGGGGAAUAUUGCACAAUGGGGGAAACCCUGAUGCAGCGACGCCGCGUGAGUGAAGAAGUAUUUCGGUAUGUAAAGCUCUAUCAGCAGGGAAGAAAAUGACGGUACCUGAGUAAGAAGCCCCGGCUAACUACGUG
rnacentral:rRNA from 1 species